AGACAUUCAUUUCCCAUCUUCUCACCUGGCAUUUUGAGAUAAUCACUGGCUACUCUUUGGACUCUGGUCCCUGAAAAGGAGCCAGUUUGCUUCCUGAACUAAACCAGUGCCCUGAGAUGGAAGCAGGAUAUUAUAUAAACCACCACCACAAACAGCAUACCAGGAAAACACAACUCAGAUCUUCCUGGCUCUUCCACUAGCUGUGAGACAUGGGGCAAGGCUCCAGAUUCAGCUGGGCCUUUAUUAACCAGCCCUGGAGUUAAAUCAUCAACCCAGAGGUCUGUCCUAGCCCUGGAGCCCAAGGAGACCCCUGAUUAUGCAGCAAGCAGGGCUGAAGUUUCCAUUUAAUUUUUGCAUCACAUCUUUAGCACUAUUGGACAUCCUAGAAACCUCAUUCACAAGAUUUCAAGUUUGAAGUGAUAGUGUUUGCUACCAGAGCCCCUUUUCUGUCAAAGAAAUUAGAAGCAGGAAGGUUGAUGCAUUCCCCCACAGUUGGGCUCACAUAUUUUCCCACCGAUAGACAAGAGAUUACCAGAAAAGGGGUGAGGAAUCCAGAGAGAAUGUCUGCAUAAGAAGGAGGGUGGAGAUUUCUUACUGAACUAAAGGCUUCAAGAAUUGGCAAAUACCUGCUCAAUGUUUUUCCAGACUUUUGUAUUUCUGAUGACUGGAUGACUCCACCUGGACCCGAGACUCAUGACUCACCCAGUCCUGUGGCCCCACCCAGAAGUGGACUCAGAGCAAGAGGACCAUUUUCCACACCCCAAUGAGUGCAUCCCCAACCAAUCAGCAGCACCUGUUCCCUAGCCCCCUGACCACCAAACUCUCCUUGAGAAACCGUAGCCUCCAAAUUUUCUGGGAGGCUGAUUUGAGUAAUAAUAAAACUUUGGUCUCCUAUGUAGCUGGCUCUAUGUGUAUUAAACUCUUCCUCUAUUGCAAUUCCCCUGCCUUGGUAAGUCGG
rnacentral:lncRNA from 1 species